GAUGAACGCUGGCGGCGUGCCUAAUACAUGCAAGUCGAGCGAACAGAUGAGAAGCUUGCUCCUCUGACGUUAGCGGCGGACGGGUGAGUAACACGUGGAUAACCUACCUAUAAGACUGGGAUAACUUCGGGAAACCGGAGCUAAUACCGGAUAAUAUAUUGAACCGCAUGGUUCAAUAGUGAAAGACGGUUUUGCUGUCACUUAUAGAUGGAUCCGCGCCGCAUUAGCUAGUUGGUAAGGUAACGGCUUACCAAGGCAACGAUGCGUAGCCGACCUGAGAGGGUGAUCGGCCACACUGGAACUGAGACACGGUCCAGACUCCUACGGGAGGCAGCAGUAGGGAAUCUUCCGCAAUGGGCGAAAGCCUGACGGAGCAACGCCGCGUGAGUGAUGAAGGUCUUCGGAUCGUAAAACUCUGUUAUUAGGGAAGAACAAAUGUGUAAGUAACUAUGCACGUCUUGACGGUACCUAAUCAGAAAGCCACGGCUAACUACGUG
rnacentral:rRNA from 1 species